CACGUAGGGGGCAAGCGUUGUCCGGAUUUAUUGGGCGUAAAGAGCUCGUAGGUGGUUCGGUAAGUCGGGUGUGAAACCUCCAGGCUCAACCUGGAGACGCCACCCGAUACUGCUGUGACUGGAGUCCGGUAGGGGAGCGUGGAAUUCCUGGUGUAACGGUGAAAUGCGCAGAUAUCAGGAGGAACACCAGCGGCGAAGGCGGCGCUCUGGGCCGGUACUGACACUGAGGAGCGAAAGCGUGGGUAGCAAACAGG
rnacentral:rRNA from 1 species